rnacentral:ncRNA from 1 species
GUUCAAAAGAGGAAAGGCUUGCGGUGGAUACCUAGGCACCCCAAAACCAGGAAGGGCGUAGCAAGCGACGAAAUGCUUCGGGGAGUUGAAAAUAAGCAUAGAUCCGGAGAUUCCCAAAUAGGUCAACCUUUUAAACUGCCUGCUGAAUCCAUGAGCAGGCAAGAGACAACCUGGCGAACUGAAACAUCUUAGUAGCCAGAGGAACAUGUCGAUAAAUUGCUAUAGAAAGUGGGGCUAGAUCGAGAGUUCUGACCUUUUCGUGGGUUGGGUGAUCUUCAAACUCUUGUACUUAUUCGGGCAGUGAGCACGCAAAAGAAGCUCGAGGACUUGGAAAUGGAGGACGGUCAGCGGCGUUUAUCCAUCCAUCCAUCCAUCUGAAGCCUCAAGGGGAAAGCACCUACACAAGAGCCAGCCAAGCCCUUCCCUUUUCUACGUGGUACCAACGUGUGUACAGCUACGUACGCCGAGAUAGAUAUACUCCUAGUAGUUGUGUACAGCAUGCGGCACAACACAAGCGGAGACAAAACCCAUUCAAAAGUGGCAAAAAGAAAAGAGAGGGGGGGGGG